rnacentral:rRNA from 1 species
UACAGAGGUCCCGAGCGUUGUUCGGAUUCACUGGGCGUAAAGGGUGCGUAGGCGGUCGGGUAAGUCUGAUGUGAAAUCCCACAGCUUAACUGUGAAACUGCAUUGGAUACUAUUCGGCUUGAGAGUUGGAGGGGGGACUGGAAUUCUCGGUGUAGCAGUGAAAUGCGUAGAUAUCGAGAGGAACACCAGUGGCGAAGGCGAGUCCCUGGCAACUUCUGACGCUGAGGCACGAAAGCUAGGGGAGCAAACAGGAUUAGAACCUACCGGUAGUCAGAUCCAAGACCAGUCUCGUGACCUGAUCCGAUAA